UCGCCCUAUCGGGACUUUUGCUGUUUGACUCGAUCGAGUUCCUCCGAAGGAGAACGGCGCCAGGAGGAAGGGAGA
rnacentral:sRNA from 21 species